rnacentral:rRNA from 1 species
UGUUAUGUAAUUGAUGAAGAUUGAUUCUGUCUUAAUUGAAUGUAAAAUUGGUUUUUAAAUAGUAUUAAAUAUAAGUUUUUGCGUGAUUUUGUAAUUUUUCUAAAUGAUAAAUUUAUUUUUAUUUGUAGUUUUUAAUUUUAAAUAUUUGUAGAUUUAGUUAAUUUAUUAAGGGAUGUUUAAGGUUGUGCCAGCAUACGCGGUUACACAUCUGUCUCGAGUUAAUUUUUUUGGUUUUUAUUAUUUAUUUAUU